GAAUAUAGCAGCUUGUAGAGUUAUACCACUUGCCCAAAUCUCUUCCAUGAGCCUCUUUAAGUGUAACAGAAUGCCUGGGAGCACGUAAAUGCUCCUACUUAGAUGCCUACUUAGCCUCUAAUUUUCAUGGGGCCCAUGAAUCCCAUGAAAAAGAACUUUGAACCCUGUCCACAAUUAGAGUUCAGGUAUACGCAGACAUGUUUAAAGACAAGGGACACCCAAAGGAAAGAUUGCACAGAGAGAAAGUGAGCAUCCGAGAGAAAAUCACCACAAGUGAGGCAGAGGGAGGCCGGUCUCAGCAGAGUUUUGGAGGUCGUGAGAAGAAGAGAUAAAGGCAAACCAGUGCUCAGAGGAACCCAACCAUCUCUGAAUUGAGACCAGAGAGCUGUCUCUAUGGAUAGUCCUUAGAGAAGGCAUUUCGGAACACAGUAAACAGCAGCCUGGUGACUCCGAUUACAGGGCCAGUUGCCUUUGUUACAAUAAAAGCAAGUCAUCUACACAGACAAACUGCGGCCUGGACCAGCUGGUGAAACAUAAUUCUGAAUCCUGCCCACAGCCUUCGGUGGUUUUGGAUGAAAGGCCAGCGCCUUGGGAGCCCUGCGUUUGAUUUCAAGUUUUAAGGCCGGCACUGGUGGAGCAAUGAAUGGUGAAAGCUCUCCCCUUAAAGGAGCACAGUUGCCUUUAGGUGACUGCUAACUCAGGCUUUUGCUGAGGACAGUGUUUACUUUGUGAGCUUAAUGACAGGGCUGGCUUUCUGGGAGUGUUGCAAUGAAACAGACUCAGACACAGGCCAUCAUGGGCCUCCUCCCUAGCAAGGCCGCCACGGCUGGCAUCUCAAGAGCAGUCCGUUGAACUUGGGAUUUGGGUGUGAGACACAGUUUCAUCAGAAGAAUUUAAACCAAAGUCUACAUUUGCCCUCUAGAUAAAUGUGUGUGUUCAGCAGCAACCACAACUCCUUGCCUCAUUCUCUUGGUUGAUUAUGUGACUGUGAGAAGAAAAGCAAAAGCAAAAAUGCGAAGCGUAGCUAUGAUGCUAUUUUAGUUAAAAAUAUUCUGGUAGAAUUUGAAGGUACCAUAGAGAUUACCUACAGAUGGAAAAAACUGAAGGUCAGAGAUGGGAAGUGCCUUGUCCAAGAUCACACAGCAUAUAAGGGAAGAAGUAGGACUGAAAUCCAGAUUUCUCUGUUCCUGUUCCUGUUUUCUCUUUUCUUUUUUUGAGACAAGGUCUCACUCUGUCGCCCAGGUUGGAGUGCAAUGGUGCAAUCUCGGCUCACUGCAACCUCCAACUCUUAGGCUCCAGAGACCAUCCUACCUCAGCCUCUUUAGUAGCUGAGAUCCUGGCUAUUUUUUAUUUUUGGUAGAGAUAGGGUUUCACCAUGUGGCCCAGUCUUGUCUUGAACUCCUGAGCUCAAACGAUCCACCCACCUUGGCCUCCCAAAGCGUUGGGAAUAUAGUGUGAGCCACUGCACCCGGCCAGGUCCUGGUCUCUUUUCAUUAUUAUACAGCUGUCAACAAUCAUGGAGAGUUCUUUUUCCCUUUUGUUGGGUUCUUGUUCCUUUGCAAAGUCUAUAAAGAACCAAGAUGAUCCAGGAAAUUCAGGGAGUCCUCAUUCACUUCCAAAGGCAGUUUGUUGUCUGUUGGCUGUGCUGUAUGAAUUGCUGUUUCAAUUAAGUUUUUCAACAUUUCCUAUGAAGGCAUGCAAAUGACCACUGAUUCUAAAUAAACCCAUUUAGGUAUUCAGGGUUUAUAAAUAUAGAGAAUCUUGCUUUCUGCCUCAUUCUUUCUGUCUUCCCUGGCAUUCUUCCCUCUAUCCACCUCCACUGAGAUGCAUUUUUAUAAAAGACUUUACUUAGGACACAUAUUUUGAUGAAAUCCUUAACAUUUUUCUUCUUUCCCAAUUUUUAUAUUAUCAUUGUUAUAAUGCAUUACAAUAAUUUAUAUUUUGCAAAUUUGUUUUAAUAUGUUAAUUUUGCAAUGUAACUAUCUCAAGGCUUCUAAUGAGGAGAGGAGGAGGCCACAGAUAGGACUAGAUAGAGAGACUUUUAAAGAUGUGGGUAGGGUGUUUGUGAAUGUCUGGGCAGUGGAAUAUUUAUGCAGCACUGUGGGUGUUUUGAACCCUCUGGAAACUAACAAGCAAGCUCCACACAUAAACUUGGUGGAAGUCCUCCAAACUUUGGACAACACAGAGGCCUUUCAGAAGUCUGAACCAAGUCCAAGUCAAAUUACA
rnacentral:lncRNA from 1 species